UUACACCAUGACAAAAACCUCUUCCCAGAGCACUUCUGCUUUUCUGCUCUCUCAGAUGGUGGCACAGUGUGAAGCCUUCAUAACCAACCGUUUCAUAACAUUCUCAUCCGACCGAUUCAUUUGCGAAAACCUCAACCCUUCCUUGAUGGACACUAAUGUGAACUGUGCUGCUGUGACAUCCACUAAUGUAAAGCACCUCACAGUGAACACAGAGACGGGUCAUUAGGGAGAAUGAAGGACUUGGCAUGUGUCUCAAGGAUGUUGACAGUUGGAGACAAGUAAACGUUGGACUUCUGUGGAUCUUUCACCUACCAAAGGAACUGGAUGGUUUGUUCAUUCAAAGAUGAACAAACUGACCGAUCGAUCUUUUUUGUAUUUACUGGAAAUGGCAUUUUCAUUGACCAUGUGGCAAGGACAAAUUCUUACUUGGAUUUCACUGGAUUAAAACGGUUUCUACCUGUUAUUCCUGGGAAAGGCAUCACAUAGAGGGUGGCUCCACUGCCUUCAACAAGUCAGGAGGUUUUUGUACGGCCAUGAAUACAAACUGAAUCACUGUGGUAUUCGGCGGAGGCACAAAGGUGAUCGUUACUGGCUCCAGCCUCCCUCCUCCUGUCCUGACAUUCUACCGUCCUUCCACCAAUCCGCUCUCGUCCAGCCAUGCCGCUCUGGUCUGUCUGGCACGG